rnacentral:rRNA from 1 species
CCUACGGGAGGCAGCAGUGAGGAAUAUUGGUCAAUGGGCGCGAGCCUGAACCAGCCAAGUCGCGUGAGGGAAGACUGUCCUAUGGAUUGUAAACCUCUUUUGUCUGGGAGCAAAAGACGCCACGUGUGGCGUUCCGAGAGUACCCGAAGAAAAAGCAUCGGCUAACUCCGUGCCAGCAGCCGCGGUAAUACGGAGGAUGCGAGCGUUAUCCGGAUUUAUUGGGUUUAAAGGGUGCGCAGGCGGAAGAUUAAGUCAGCGGUAAAAUUGAGAGGCUCAACCUCUUCGAGCCGUGGAAACUGGUUUGCUUGAGUGAGCGAGAAGUAUGCGGAAUGCGUGGUGUAGCGGUGAAAUGCAUAGAUAUCACGCAGAACUCCGAUUGCGAAGGCAGCAUACCGGCGCUCAACUGACGCUCAUGCACGAAAGUGUGGGUAUCGAACAGGAUUAGAUACCCCUGUAGUC